rnacentral:rRNA from 1 species
AACGAACGCUGGCGGCGUGGAUAAGACAUGCAAGUCGAACGAGAUUACUUCUGGUAGCAGUACCGGGAGUAAUUUAGUGGCGAACGGGUGCGUAACACGUGGGCAAUCUGCCUUGAAGUGGGGGAGUAGCUCGGCGAAAGACCGAAUUAAUACCGCAUAUGAUCAGGAGGGACAUCCCUUCCGAAAUACAAAGGUAGGUCGUAGCAAUACGGCUGCCGC